rfam:Hafnia alvei FB1, complete genome.
AUUUCCGCGUUAAUUCUCAUUAAGACAGGGAAAACGACGGGAUUUGACGUUUACUUGAUGCCACAGAAAUGCAGCAAUGGCGUAAGACGUAGUGUGAAAUCAAGUAAUUAGCGGGCUGUGGGUAGCAGUCUGACCUAAAACAUGGAAUCAGCAAUGCUGCAUAUUUUUGCAAUUAUUGACUGAUAAACAGUGCUGUGUUUCACAAAGCUGUAUUUUCGCUAAGAAACAUAGGCUUACCGAAAUAUGCGCCCCUAUGCAGGCGACAACCGUGAGGUUGACGACUUUGCGAUAAGACUCGGGGUCAUCGGUCUUCCUCUCGGUCAGGACGUUAUUUUGCCCGCAGCUUAGUUGCCAA